rnacentral:misc_RNA from 1 species
GAAAUGCGAUAAGUAAUGUGAAUUGCAGAAUUCAGCGAAUCAUCGAAUCUUUGAACGCACAUUGCGCCCGCCAGUAUUCUGGCGGGCAUGCCUGUCCGAGCGUCAUUUCAACCAUCAAGCCCCCGGGCUUGUGUUGGGGACCUGCGGCUGCCCGCAGGCCCUGAAAACCAGUGGCGGGCUCGCUGUCACACCGAGCGUAGUAGCAAUCACCUCGCUCAGGGCGUGCUGCGGGUUCCGGCCGUUAAACAGCCUUACAAAACCCAAGGUUGACCUCGGAUCAGGUAGGAAGACCCGCUGAACUUAAGC